rnacentral:rRNA from 1 species
GACGAACGCUGGCGGCGUGCUUAACACAUGCAAGUCGAACGGUGAACCCGCUUCGGUGGGGGAUCAGUGGCGAACGGGUGAGUAACACGUGGGCAACCUGCCCCCGGCUCUGGGAUAACCCCAAGAAAUUGGGGCUAAUACCGGAUAUGACCGCUGACCGCAUGGUCUGGUGGUGGAAAGAUUUAUCGGCUGGGGAUGGGCCCGCGGCCUAUCAGCUUGUUGGUGGGGUAGUGGCCUACCAAGGCGACGACGGGUAGCCGGCCUGAGAGGGUGACCGGCCACACUGGGACUGAGACACGGCCCAGACUCCUACGGGAGGCAGCAGUGGGGAAUAUUGCGCAAUGGGCGGAAGCCUGACGCAGCGACGCCGCGUGGGGGAUGACGGCCUUCGGGUUGUAAACCUCUUUCAGCAGGGACGAAGCCGUGAGGUGACGGUACCUGCAGAAGAAGCACCGGCCGACUACGUGCCAGCAGCCGCGGUAACAC